UGAGGAAUAUUGGUCAAUGGGCGAGAGCCUGAACCAACCAAGUCGCGUGAAGGAAGACUGCCUUAUGGGUUGUAAACUUCUUUUAUACAGGAAUAAAAAGGCUUACGUGUAGGCCAUUGCAAGUACUGUAUGAAUAAGCAUCGGCUAACUCCGUGCCAGCAGCCGCGGUAAUACGGAGGAUGCGAGCGUUAAUCCGGAUUUAUUGGGGUUUAAAGGGUGCGCAGGCGGGCUUUUAAGUCAGCGGUGAAAUCUGGACGCUUAACGUCCAAACUGCCGUUGAAACUGGAGUCUUGAGUAUGGAUGAAGUAGGCGGAAUUCGUUGUGUAGCGGUGACAUGCAUAGAUAUAACGAGGAACUCCGAUUGCGUAGGCAGCUUACUAAGCCAUAACUGACGCUCAUGCACGAAAGCGUGGGGAUCAAACAGGAUUAGAUACCCUGGUAGUCCACGCCGUAAAACGAUGAUUACUAGUUGUAUGCGAUAUGAUAGUAUGUGACUAAGCGAAAAGCGAUAAGUAAUCCACCUGGGGAGUACGCCGGCAACGGUGAAACUCAAAGGAAUUGACGGGGUCAUAGCUGUUUCCUG
rnacentral:rRNA from 1 species